UACAGAGGGUGCAAGCGUUGUUCGGAAUUAUUGGGCGUAAAGGGUGCGUAGGCGGUGCGGUAAGUCUGUAGUGAAAUCUCUGGGCUCAACUCAGAGUCUGCUAUAGAAACUGCCGUGCUUGAGUGUGGGAGAGGUGAGUGGAAUUCCCGGUGUAGCGGUGAAAUGCGUAGAUAUCAGGAGGAACACCUGUGGCGAAAGCGGCUCACUGGACCAUAACUGACGCUGAUGCACGAAAGCUAGGGGAGCAAACAGG
rnacentral:rRNA from 1 species